UUGUACUUGACCUGGCAGCUGCUGACUCCGUCCUACCCCGGUUACACAGGGUUAGAGGAAUGUUAAUUACCCGAGGAUGCUGUGUCAUCCGCACAGUAUCCGGGAGAAAAUAACAAGGACAACUCCCUUCAUCUGAGAAAUACAGACAUUUAGCGAUAUAAGUGCCACGCUCAAAGGUACUGGUGUUGUGUGGGCACAUAUUUGGGCAGGAAUGUAGAUCCUCUUAUCCUACUACUAUAUGGGCAUCUGAUACAUAGAUGCACCCAGCCAGAGAGUGCUAACCCUGUGCCCUACUGCAGGAGGGGUCUCAGCAAGCAUCUGUUCUUGUCGCAGAAUCUGCGACAUGGAUAAAAUUCUAUCUCUGCAUCUUACAGGUAUUAAAAUCCAGUUCCCUGCGUGCAUGCUCCAGUUUAAGUGGAUGGCUGAUUCUAUCCCGUCAUCCUGAACUUUGUAGCUUCCUUUAAGAGAUGAUAAAUUAGGGAACAAAAGGAUCUUCCUUUCCGUGACAGCAGCACUUUCGGGAGGCUGAGCAUGUACCUCUGACUCAAGGCUGAGUUAUUAUAAGAAAAACAGAAAAGGAAGGAAGAAGGUUUUAAUUUCCCACUGUUGAAGACAGUUUGUCAGGAUGAGAGACAGACAGACAGAGCGUGCACAGACCUGCACUUCUCUUCGGGGAUGAAUAGGGCAAGUGUUUCAUUCAUGACGUCUUCAAAGCGUUGCCCGGAAUGCAAAAUGACAUGGUUUUUCUGGAAUACUAGUCUGUUUGAAAGGCCAAGGAAAGGUGAUACAUUUUGAAUGCACAUUUGGGUGACUUCAGGGUCUCCUUCUAUAACCAGAAUGGAGAUGUCCCUGAAAGGCUGUCAACAGAGAAAAAAAGAAUUCUGGUUAAAAUUCCAUUAUUCCAGUUUUUUUUUUGUUGUUGUUGUUUUUUUUUUUUGCCUGCGUUGUGUAAUUGAAGAUGUCUUCCAAGCAGAAACAGACCCUUGUUUCAUGUGGAAAAAAAAAUACAUAGACUAAUAGACUACAGAGAAAUAGAGGUAAAAAGAAGAUUGCUGCCACUUCCCAGUUAAGGAAUGCGUUGCUUUCACCCACCGUGGUCCCUGCUGCCUGUGACUCCAACACAAGAAUCAAUCCAUCUGUCUUUCUGCCACCACAGACAUCUCCCUAAAUUGAUCUAAUCUUGUGUCUAUUCUUAAAAUUCUUCGGAUUGCUUCUUGUUAAUAGAUAAUUGAAGUUCAGUAGUACAGUCUUUCCAUCUCCCUUUCCUUCCUGAUUGUCAAAUCACUUUGACCCAAUAAAUCUCACUUAAUUUUUUAAUUGUAUGGGAAUUUAAAAAUGGCACAUGUUUUAUCAUAUGCCUGGGCUGCUCUACCCAACUUUUCAAAGUUCUUUCCAUCCUUCAAAGUCUAGCUCAGCACCUACAUCUUCAAACGGUAAAACUUCUCUAAUUUUUUUGCAUGAAAUAAAUGUGCCUAUCCAAUCAGGAUGAGCCACUCAGAUGUGUGACUGAUGUCACACAGGGCUUCAAGCUCAGAAGAGCCCACCGGAUGAAUGGUUUAUUUCUCUGCUGUUGUCAUCUUGAAAUUUGAAGAAGGGGCCCAGCAUUUUCAUUUUGCACUGGACUCACAAACGAUAUAGCCAGUCCUGCCUCCAGUACUCCUAAAGUUAACAAUUUCAUAUCUCUGCUCCAAUAAUUCUCAUCCACAUUGUUGUUUUGAAGUUACCUUUGUAACUCCCACUAGAUUGGGAGCUCUAGGAAGCCACAGAUCUUAUUUGUUGAGUUUCUACAAGUGUGGGGAAGAGUAGUGUGCACAGAUUAAAGCUGCCAAUGGGAAGGUAAGAAUACUAUCAGAGUUCAUCAGAACAGAACUGAAAACAGCCAACAUCUCCUGAGAAUAGCAGUGCUAUGUUCUGAGUGUUUGUGUCCCCCCAAAAUUCAUGUGCUGAAAUCUAAUUCCCAACAUGUUGGUAUUAAGAGGUGGGGAAUUUGAGAGGUGAGUAGGUCAUGAGGGUGGAGCCCUCAUGGGUAGGAUUAGUGUUCUUAUGAAAGAGGCCUGACAGAGCAUAUGCCCUUUUACCACAUAGAAGGUGCCAUCUAUGAAGAACUAGCUCUCAGUAGACACCAAAUCUUCUGGCACCUUGAUCUUGGACUUCCCAGCCUCCAGAACUGUGAGCAAUAAGUUUCUGUUGUAUAUAAAUUACCCAGUCAAAGGUAUUUUGUUACAGCCGCCAGAAUGCAUUAAGACAAAUAGUAAAAAGAACAAAGAAGUUUUGCACACGUAGUAUGCACCAAGCACUGUGCUUUGCACUGCGCGAGAAAAUCCAACCUGGUUCUCACAACAUGAAGCAUAGGUACUAUAUUAUGGCUUCAGUUUCCAGAGGAAGAAACUAAGGCUUAGAGAGGGAAGGUGUCACACACUAAGCAGCAGUAGCAGGAGUCGCUGUCAGUUCUGGCUCCUAGGAAAUCAAUGAGUCUGUAUUCAUAAAUCAUAGAAAAUUGUGACAUUUUCAUGCAAUAAAAAACCUAAGAAUGUUCUUUAUAUAUAUACAUAUAUUUUUAUUAUACUUCGAGUUCUAGGGUACAUGUGCGCAACGUGCAGGUUUGUUACAUAUGUGUACAUAACAUUAGGUAUAUCUCCUAAUGCUAUCCCUUCCCCCUCCCCCCACCCCACAAC
rnacentral:lncRNA from 1 species